GAUGAACGCUGGCGGUGCGCCUAAUGCAUGCAAGUCGAGCGACGCACUCCGGAGGGGUAACCCACUGGAAUGACGGAGCGGCGAACGGGUGAGUAACACGUGAGCAACCUGCCCCACAGAUCGGGAUAGCCCAGGGAAACCUGGAUUAAUACCGGAUAUCUUCGGAUGGCCACAUGGCCGACCGAGGAAAUGCCUUUGUGCUGUGGGAUGGGCUCGCGGCUUAUCAGCUAGUUGGUGGGGUAACGGCCUACCAAGGCAUUGACGAGUAGCUGGUCUGAGAGGACGAUCAGCCACACUGGGACUGAGACACGGCCCAGACUCCUACGGGAGGCAGCAGCAGGGAAUCUUGCGCAAUGGGCGAAAGCCUGACGCAGCGACACCGCGUGGGGGAUGAAGGCCUUCGGGUUGUAAACCCCUUUCAGGAGGGAAGAAAUUGACGGUACCUCCACAAGAAGCACCGGCCAACUACGUG
rnacentral:rRNA from 1 species